rnacentral:pre_miRNA from 1 species
GGUUAGCUCAAGGAUCUCACAUGAUCCAGGUGGAAUUGAUCAGGUGGAAUCCUUGGAUCAUGUGAUAUCCUUGAGCUAAUACACUAUCAUG